GACGAACGCUGGCGGCGCGCCUAACACAUGCAAGUCGAACGAGCGAGAGAGAGCUUGCUUUCUCGAGCGAGUGGCGAACGGGUGAGUAACGCGUGAGGAACCUGCCUCAAAGAGGGGGACAACAGUUGGAAACGACUGCUAAUACCGCAUAAGCCCACGGUUCGGCAUCGAGCAGAGGGAAAAGGAGCAAUCCGCUUUGAGAUGGCCUCGCGUCCGAUUAGCUAGUUGGUGAGGUAACGGCCCACCAAGGCGACGAUCGGUAGCCGGACUGAGAGGUUGAACGGCCACAUUGGGACUGAGACACGGCCCAGACUCCUACGGGAGGCAGCAGUGGGGAAUAUUGCACAAUGGGGGAAACCCUGAUGCAGCGACGCCGCGUGGAGGAAGAAGGUCUUCGGAUUGUAAACUCCUGUUGUUGGGGAAGAUAAUGACGGUACCCAACAAGGAAGUGACGGCUAACUACGUGCCAGCAGCCGCGGUAAAACGUAGGUCACAAGCGUUGUCCGGAAUUACUGGGUGUAAAGGGAGCGCAGGCGGGAAGACAAGUUGGAAGUGAAAUCUAUGGGCUCAACCCAUAAACUGCUUUCAAAACUGUUUUUCUUGAGUAGUGCAGAGGUAGGCGGAAUUCCCGGUGUAGCGGUGGAAUGCGUAGAUAUCGGGAGGAACACCAGUGGCGAAGGCGGCCUACUGGGCACCAACUGACGCUGAGGCUCGAAAGUGUGGGUAGCAAACAGGAUUAGAUACCCUGGUAGUCCACACCGUAAACGAUGA
rnacentral:rRNA from 1 species